UGCCGCCGCCUCUCCCCGCGCCGUGCGCCCGGCGCCCAACGGAGCUGCUCGCGUCGCCGCCGCCCCCCAGCUGCGGGCACCCGGCCGCUGGCUGCGCUAGGACCCGCCGCCGCGGGCUGCCGAGGGCCGGUGGGAAGGGAGGAACGGGAGCGAAAGGGCCCCGGAGACUGGCGCCCGCCGGGGCGCAGCGCGGCAUGUAGCUGCGGGCUCCCGCGCGAGGGUGUCGGCCCGGGGCCCCGCCAUGGCAGGGACGGACAGCGGGAACCUGAAGACGGUGAGGCUGUGGCGGGACGCCGCCCUGCGCGCCAGGAAGCUGCGGAGCAACCUGCGCCAGCUCACCCUCAGCUCGGCCGGGGGCUGCCCGGGAACCGACCAGCUCGACUCCCCUGACGCCCCCCAGCUCGUGCUCCCGGCCAACAUCGGGGACAUUGAGGUGCUGAACCUGGGGAACAACGGCCUGGAGGAGGUGCCCGACGGGCUGGGCUCGGCGCUGGGCAGCCUCCGCGUCCUGGUCCUGCGUCGGAACCGCUUUGCCCAGCUGCCUCCGGCAGUGGCCGAGCUGGGACACCACCUCACGGAGCUGGACGUGAGCCACAACCGGCUGAGCGUCCUGGGCGCCGAGGCGGUGGGCGCCCUGCGCGAGCUGCGGAAGCUCAACCUUAGCCACAACCAGCUCCCUGCCCUGCCAGCCCAGCUGGGUGCGCUGGUCCAUCUGGAAGAGCUGGACGUCAGCUUCAACCGGCUGGCGCACCUGCCAGACUCCCUCGCCGGCCUCUCUCGCCUGCGCACCCUCGACGUGGACCAUAACCAGCUCACGGCUUUUCCCCGGCAGCUGCUGCAGCUGGUAGCCCUGGAGGAGCUGGACGUGUCCAGCAACCGGCUGCGGGGCCUCCCCGAGGAUAUCAGUGCCCUGCGUGCCCUCAAGAUCCUCUGGCUGAGUGGGGCUGAGCUUGGCACCCUGCCGAGCGGUUUCUGCGAGCUGGCCAGCCUGGAGAGCCUCAUGCUGGACAACAACGGGCUUCGGGCUCUGCCCGCCCAGUUCAGCCGCCUGCAGCGACUCAAAAUGCUCAAUCUCUCCUCCAACCUCCUGGAGGAGUUCCCGGCCGCCCUGCUGCCUCUGGCUGGCCUGGAGGAGCUCUACCUUAGUCGCAACCAGCUCACCUCGGUGCCAUCCCUGAUCUCGGGCCUGGGCCGUCUUCUCACCCUGUGGCUGGAUAACAACCGGAUCCGCUACCUGCCCGACUCCAUCGUCGAGCUCACCGGCCUGGAGGAGCUUGUCCUGCAGGGGAACCAGAUCGCCGUGCUGCCAGACAACUUUGGCCAGCUCUCCCGCGUGGGCCUGUGGAAGAUCAAGGACAACCCUCUAAUCCAGCCCCCCUACGAGGUCUGUAUGAAGGGGAUCCCGUACAUCGCCGCCUACCAGAAGGAGCUGGCUCACUCCCAGCCGGCGGUCCAGCCGCGCCUCAAACUGCUUCUGAUGGGUCAGAAGGCGGCAGGAAAGACCCUUCUCCGGCACUGCCUCACUGAGGACAGAGUGGAGGGGAAGCUUGGAGGAGGGGGCCAGGAGAAGACCUACCCGCCUUCACCUCCUCCCGGCAGCAAGGGCAUCGAGGUGACCAGCUGGACGGCGGAUGCGUCCCGGGGCCUGCGGUUCAUCGUGUAUGACCUAGCCGGGGAUGAACGCUACGAGGUGAUCCAGCCCUUCUUUCUCUCCCCAGGGGCCCUGUACGUGCUGGUGGUGAACUUGGCCACCUACGAGCCGCUCCGCUUUCCCACCACCGUGGGCUCUUUCUUGCAUCGGGUGGGGGCCCGGGUGCCCCACGCCGUGGUGUGCAUCGUGGGCACCCACGCCGACCUGUGCGGGGAGCAGGAGCUGGAGGAGAAGUGUCUGGACAUCCACCGCCAGAUCGCCCUGCAGGAGAAGCACGACGCCGAGGGACUGAGCCGUCUGGCCCAGGUGGUGGACGAGGCGCUGGCCCGGGACUUUGAGCUCCGCUCCACCAGCCCUCACGCAGCCUACUACGGGGUGUCGGACAAGAACCUUCGGCGGCGCAAGGCCCACUUCCAGUACCUGCUCAACCACCGGCUGCAGAUCCUCUCGCCGGUGCUGCCCGUCAGCUGCCGGGACCCGCGCCAGUUACAGCGCCUGCGCGACAAACUGCUCUCUGUGGCCGAGCACCGUGAAAUCUUCCCCAACUUACACCGCGUGCUGCCGCGGUCCUGGCAGGUGCUGGAGGAGCUGCACUUCCAGCCCCCGCAGGCGCAGCGGCUCUGGCUCAGCUGGUGGGACUCGGCUCGGCUGGGGCUGCAGGCCGGGCUGACCGAGGACCGGCUGCAGAGCGCCCUCUCCUACCUGCACGAGAGCGGCAAGCUGCUGUACUUCGAGGACAGCCCGGCCCUCAAGGAGCACGUCUUCCACAACCUUUCCCGCCUCAUCGACAUCCUCAACGUCUUCUUCCAGAGGGACCCUUCCUUGCUACUGCACAAGCUGCUCCUGGGGACCAGCGGCGAGGCCGAGGCCGAGGGCCGGGCCGAAAGCUCCCCGCUGAUGGCGCCGCCCGCCCCGAGCCAGGACGCGCUUCGGGCCACCCAGCUCCAUCACUACGUGGAGGGCUUUCUGCUGCACGGGCUCCUGCCAGCCCACGUCAUCCGGUUGCUGCUGAAGCCUCACGUCCAAGCUCAGCAGGACCUGCAGCUGCUGCUGGAGCUGCUGGAGAAGAUGGGACUCUGUUACUGCCUCAACAAAGCCAAGGGCAAGCCCCUGAAUGGGUCCACGGCCUGGUACAAGUUCCCCUGCUACGUGCAGAACGAGGUGCCGCAUGCAGAAGCCUGGAUUAAUGGGACCAACCUGGCCGGGCAGUCCUUUGUGGCUGAGCAGCUGCAGAUUGAAUACAGUUUCCCCUUCACCUUUCCACCCGGCUUGUUCGCCCGCUACAGCGUCCAGAUCAACAACCACGUGGUGCACAGGUCGGAUGGCAAACUUCAGAUCUUCGCCUACAGGGGGAAAGUCCCGGUGGUGGUGAGCUACAGACCUGCCAAGGGGGUCCUGCAGCCGGACACCCUGUCCAUUGCCAGCCACGCAUCUUUACCGAACAUAUGGACGGCAUGGCAAGCCAUAACCCCCUUGGUAGAGGAACUGAAUGUCCUACUUCAGGAAUGGCCUGGACUGCACUACACCGUGCACAUUCUCUGUUCUAAGUGCCUUAAGAGAGGGUCGCCUAAUCCACACGCUUUCCCAGAGAUGGUGGAAGAGCGGUCAAGGGGCAGCUUAUCAGGAUGCGAAAGUGACAGAAGCGUGGACGUUGGCCUCAGAAAGUUUCUACCACCUGAUCUUGCAGUCACGCUCUUUGAGCUCUGCCUCGCGGGGGCUCCAGGGACCCUGGCUCAGUUUGCCGCGACGUCUAGAUACAGAUCUCUGGAGCCCGUCUGUGGAAAGGAAGGGGAGUUGCUGAGUCAGCCCAGACCAGAAGGAGUGGCAGAGAUCAUCUGCCCCAAGAACGGCAGCGAGCGAGUGAAUGUUGCCUUGGUUUACCCACCCACACCAACUGUGAUCAGCCCGUGUUCCAAGUAUCUCCAUACUUUCUUGGACAAUUAAGUGGAAAAGAUAGUGCUUCUUUCCCUUAUGCCAUCAUUUUUACUGUACCCAAUCUGUGACUUUAGGAGCACCAAUUUUUAAGGGAAGAACGCUGGGGAAAAGCACAGAAACCAGUGACUUCUACGGCUGUGGGAUUUCCAUGGAGAAAAUAGCAUCAGAACGCACCUGGACCAUCUUCUGUACCCGGCAAACCCUCACACUCCCAGGCGUGUUCUGUGAAUUCGCGUGCAUGUGUGUUCAGGGUGUUUUCAUGCGAGGGAGCACACCUAGCCUGUAGAUGAGGCGGGGAGGGUGCAGGGGGGGAAAAGGACGGGAGAGACUAUGGAGCAAAUGUUUGACAACCUGAACCUCAGAACUGUGAUCCUCCAAGGAGAGCGCUACUUGAAGAAAAGAAAAAAUAAUAAAGUCGAAUGGCUUCUCAGGGAUUUUUUUUUUUUUUUCCGUGCACAUAUAAGCCAUAAUUCCAGUACAGGUGGCAGUAUUCAGAGCACUCAGAUUUCAGUUCUGUAAAUGUGAAAGAGGGAUCGACUGACCAUUCAUUGCUGUUCCAUAACUAGUGUAAAAUAUGUAUAUGUUUAUCUUUAUUUUUAUAAUACACAAAUACAUUUAAAUUUAUACAGUUUGAAGCUUCUAGCAUUAGUUGACACUGGGUGCAAUAUUCUGAUGAGAACUGUGCCAACACGGGGCUGAUUUCUUACUUUAGCAUCAGACGUGUUGUUUAUUCUUUAAGCCUUCGCAGAUUUAAAAAAGAAAAGAUACCUGUCUCUUUGCUCAUGGCUUAAGUGUUGGUUCAUAGAGGUUGACAAUAAUCAUCAAGAACCUUAAACAUGCAUUUCAGGCAAUAGCCCCUCCUCACCUUUUCAGUAAAGGUCCCUGGUCACUGGGUGAUAGUCCGAUGGAGGCCUGGUGAUUAAGAUUCUUCAGGGGAGGGGGAUUAAGGGAUCCACAUAUCCAAGGAAAAGUGGAGUCUUGCAAUAGCUUAGAUAGUCAGGCGUCAGUUCCGAAGCAUGUAAAGAGCUCUGCUAACAGGUCCUGUUCCCACCCCCCACUGCCCCCUAGAACAGAGUCUGUGAAAUUUAGCAGAGCUCUCUGAAAGCUAGUAUCAGACCCUAAGAUAGUGAGUUGCCUAAUUGGAGAGCACAAGCCUACGUUGGUUAUUUAUAAAUACAGAACCUCUGAUUGGAUGGUCUACUGCCACGAACUAGUAAAACCCUGGUUGUAAAAUCUCCAUGACGUAAAACCUAAAAAGCCAACAACCAAACUGCUCUCUCCUCCUCCUCGUCGGGGCCAAGCAGCAUCCACGGCAAUAGUAACGCGUUCUUUGAAGAGUGUGCACGCCUCUGUUUACAUCUGCCUCCUCUGCAUGUGGAUUGAAAAAUGUGUGAAACUGUUUCUUUCCAGGGUAAGGCAAGAAAAACUAGUCAGCGGUAUUAUUCGUUUACUUCUAUCAAGUAUUGUCUCUUGGAAUGCCACAGUAUACAAUGUCUCCACAUAUUAAAAAAACAAAAUAACAAAGAAGCAAGUGGCUGCAUUGCAAAAAAAAAAAAAAAAUACACAAAUCAAUUUCUGUAGAUUGUUUUGUGCCCCGGGAAUUAACUUUAUGAACUCCAGAACCUCCAAACAAGCAUGAUUUCUUACAAUCAUAAAAUCAAAUGGGAUCAGACUAGUUCCGCAUUUUAAUAGUUGAAUACGACACCUCCAAUUUGCAGUUAAUUUUCUUUUGAUACAAUCACAAGAUUCACCUUGUUAAUCCUUCUGUCACAGUUCUCCUGUGUGUGUGUGCAUGUGUGUGUAAGUGUUAACUGAAUGGUAACAUUUAAUUGCUUUACGGACCACUGAAUUUUUGGGCAUAAAAGUUUUCCAAUUGGCAGGAGACAGUUCUUCAACUGUCAAAUUAACCGACUUUGACCAAAAAAGGCUGGUAAAGUGACUUCAGGCUAACUCCCCAGGGGACCAUAUUAACAGAAGGAAAAAAAAAAAAAAUGUUCCUUUGGGUGACAUACCCUGCAAAGUGUGUGCUCUUAUGAUGAAUAUAGAUGCCCACAUUCUUAAUAACUGCCCUUUUUGGACACGUGAUGCUGUAUGCUGUCAUCUAACCUUAGAGAAGCAGUGUAAGAAGAAAGCUUGGUGUCACAUGUAUUUUAGCAAAAAAAAAAAAAUGUCAUCCUGAUAGAGGGUCAUGUGACCAAAAGCAGCUCCAGAAAAGCUUGAGAACUCGCGUUGGGGCAGAGAGGAAGGUUGGAGAUACAGAAAACACACUGCUCUAUCGGAAUUUUCUUCAUCUAUGCAGGAAAUUCCAUCCUCUCUUUCAACACCUGGGAAGACUCAGCUGGGGAGGCUGACUGAUGGGCGAUUCACUAAGCACAAAGGGGGAUCUUUCCCAACUAAGUCGUCCCUGCCUUGCAAACAGACGCCCUCCAAGUUUGUUAUGGUUUCUAUUCCUGCAUCUUGUGGUAUCAAAACCACUUCCUGGAAUUGUAAACGCGCUGCCAGAAUAAAUGUUUUUUCCCCCUUCCAAGAAAAAAACCACCAGUGUUCAUAUUUGACACUUGUGCACUGGACUCUUUUUGAAUGAAUAAAAUAGAAAGGGUUUGGUGUCAA